rnacentral:rRNA from 1 species
GACGGGGCCCGCACAAGCGGUGGAGCGUGUGGUUUAAUUCGAUGAUACGCGAGAAACCUUACCAGGGCUUGACAUAUACAGGAAUGUUGUAGAGAUACAGCAGCCGCUUGCGGUCUGUAUACAGGUGCUGCAUGGCUGUCGUCAGCUCGUGCUGUGAAGUGUUGGGUUAAGUCCCGCAACGAGCGCCAACCCUAUCAUCUGUUGCCAGCAUUUAAGGUGGGGACUCAGAUGAGACUGCCGGUGACAAACCGGAGGAAGGUGGGGACGACGUCAAGUCAUCAUGGCCCUUAUGUCCUGGGCUACACACGUGCUACAAUGGCCGGUACAGAGUGAAGCGAAACCGCGAGGUGAAGCAAAACGCAGAAAGCCGGUCUCAGUACGGAUUGGAGUCUGAAACUCGACUUCAUGAAGUUGGAAUCGCUAGUAAUCGCGCAUCAGCAUGGCGCGGUGAAUACGUUCCCGGGCCUU